GAUGAGGUUUUUCGACUUGGAGUUUC
rnacentral:piRNA from 1 species